UACGAAGGGGGCUAGCGUUGCUCGGAAUCACUGGGCGUAAAGCGCACGUAGGCGGAUUGCUAAGUCAGGGGUGAAAUCCUGGAGCUCAACUCCAGAACUGCCUUUGAUACUGGCGGUCUCGAGUCCGGGAGAGGUGAGUGGAACUGCGAGUGUAGAGGUGAAAUUCGUAGAUAUUCGCAAGAACACCAGUGGCGAAGGCGGCUCACUGGCCCGGUACUGACGCUGAGGUGCGCAAGCGUGGGGAGCGAACAGG
rnacentral:rRNA from 1 species